CCAGAAUCAACAAGCAAUAAAUAUUUAAACAAAAUUCAAUGUAAUAAAACUAUCAAAGCAAUCACACGAGACAGGAAGAUGGAACAAAAAAGAAGCUGAAUUUUUCACUAUUAAAUCCUAGGUAGCCAUAGCCACACCUUAAAAUCUAAUUACAAGAUUAGAGGUGUAAAAGUGGACAUUUAAUCUGAACGCAAACAGAUUCAGCUAUGUGCAUAUUCACCAAUACUUAGCUUCCUAUCACAUGUUUCUUGCCAGUGAAAGGUUGAAAAUUUUCCACUUGUUUCUCUUCGACUUCAAUUGUGCCAUCCCUUUAUCUCGACUCUCUUUGGAGUCUUCUCAACAUUGUUAGAACCGAAAACAAGUGUUCCCUUUCUCUUGCGGUCCACAAUGUUGGUUGACUCAACAACCUUGUGUGAUCCUCCCGUAUUAUCAUCUUGAAUCAUGCCACUAUCGACUUUUGUCUCCAUAGGUUCCCUGUCCAAGCACCCGUGCUGGUGAAUGGCCUAAUUACUGGCUGUUCUUGAUCAAUCUCCUUCUUUUGAACGUCUGCUGGUUUUUCAGGUUCCUUAUAGUCCAAUGGAGGAGCAAAAUCUGCCUAACAUUCCGUCUCAAUGAGACAUAUUGCCAGGUUUCGACUCCAAAAUGUUAGGCCCUGUUUGAUAUCAUGGGUUUUCCAUGGAAAAAUUUCCAUUAAAACGACAUGUUUGAUAGCAAUUUUUUUCCAUUAAAUU
rnacentral:lncRNA from 1 species